rnacentral:rRNA from 1 species
CCCUUAGAUGUCCUGGGCCGCACGCGCGCUACACUGAUGCAUGCAACGAGUUUAUAACCUUGGCCUGAAAGGUCUGGGUAAUCUUUUGAACGUGCAUCGUGAUAGGGAUAGAUUAUUGCAAUUGUUAAUCUUGAACGAGGAAUCCCUAGUAAACGCGAGUCAUCAGCUCGCAUUGAUUACGUCCCUGCCCUUUGUACACACCGCCCGUCGCACCUACCGAUUGAAUGGUUCGGUGAAGAUCUCGGACUUCGAUAUUUAUUCUUUAUUGAGUUUAUAUUGUGGGAAGUUAUCUAAACCUCAUCAUUUAGAGGAAGGUGAAGUCGUAACA